rnacentral:rRNA from 1 species
UGCAGAGGUGGCAAGCGUUGUUCGGAAUUACUGGGCGUAAAGCGAGUGUAGGUGGUUGUCCAAGUUGGAUGUGAAAGCCUUGAGCUCAACUCAAGAAAUGCAUUCAGGACUGGGCGGCUAGAGGACCGGAGAGGAUAGUGGAAUUCCCAGUGUAGUGGUGAAAUACGUAGAGAUUGGGAAGAACACCAGUGGCGAAGGCGGCUAUCUGGACGGUUUCUGACACUAAGACUCGAAAGCGUGGGGAGCAAACAGG